rnacentral:rRNA from 1 species
GACGAACGCUGGCGGCGCGCUUAAUACAUGCAAGUCGAACGAGAAGCCAGAGCUUGCUCUGGUGGAAAGUGGCGAACGGGUGAGUAACACGUGAGAAACCUGCCCAAAGAUUGGGAUAAGCCUUGGAAACGAGGUCUAAUACCAAAUACCUUCUUUUUAACACAUGUUAAAAAGAAGAAAUGCUCCGGCGCUUUGGGAUGGUCUCGCGAUCUAUCAGCUUGUUGGUGAGGUAACGGCUCACCAAGGCAUCGACGGAUAGCUGGUCUGAGAGGAUGUCCAGCCACAUUGGAACUGAGACACGGUCCAAACUCCUACGGGAGGCAGCAGUAGGAAUCUUGCACAAUGAGGGGAACCUUGAUGCAGCGACGCCGCGUGCGGGACGAAAGGCCCCUAAGGGUUGAAACCGCUUUCAGUAGGGACGAAAGUGACGG